rnacentral:rRNA from 1 species
CCUACGGGAGGCAGCAGUGGGGAAUAUUGCACAAUGGGCGAAAGCCUGAUGCAGCGACGCCGCGUGAGGGAUGACGGCCUUCGGGUUGUAAACCUCUUUCAGCAGGGACGAAGCGAAAAUGACGGUACCUGCAGAAGAAGCACCGGCUAACUCGUGCCAGCAGCCGCGGUAAU